UCUAAGUAUAACCUGCCAGACAGGGAAACUGCGUACGGCUCAUUACACCAGCCUUAAUUUACUUGACCUUGACAACCUACUUGGAUAACUGUGGUAAUUCUAGAGCUAAUACAUGCACCAAAGCUCCGAUCCUCGCGGAGAGGAGCGCAUUUGUUCGCCACAAAACCAAGCGCCCAUCUGGGCGUCCAGUGCUGAACCAGAACAACUCAGCUGAUCGCACGGUCUUGUACCGGCGACGUGUCUUUCAAGUGUCUGCCUUAUCAACUUUCGAUGGUAGUGUACCUGACUACCAUGGUUGUGACGGGUAACGGAGGAUAAGGGUUCGACUCCGGAGAAGGGGCCUGAGAAAUGGCCACUACGUCUAAGGAUGGCAGCAGGCGCGCAAAUUACCCACUCUCAACGCGAGGAGGUAGUGACGAGAAAUAACGAGACCGUUCUCAUACGAGGCC
rnacentral:rRNA from 1 species